rnacentral:rRNA from 1 species
CCUACGGGAGGCAGCAGUGAGGAAUAUUGGUCAAUGGGCGGAAGCCUGAACCAGCCAAGUCGCGUGAGGGAUUACGGCCCUAUGGGUCGUAAACCUCUUUUGUCAGGGAGCAAGGUCGUCCACGUGUGGGCUUCUGGAGAGUCCCUGAAGAAAAAGCAUCGGCUAACUCCGUCCCAGCAGCCGCGGUAAUACGGAGGAUGCGAGCGUUACCAGGAUUUAUUGGGUUUAAAGGGUGCGUAGGCGGGACAUUAAGUCAGCGGUAAAAUUGCGGGGCUCAACGCCGUAGAGCCGUUGAAACUGGUGCUCGUGAGUGAGCGAGAAGUAUGCGGAAUGCGUGGUGUAGCGGUGAAAUGCAUAGAUAUCACGCAGAACCCCGAUUGCGAAGGCAGCAUACCGGCGCGCAACUGACGCUGAGGCACGAAAGUGCGGGUAUCGAACAGGAUUAGAUACCCUAGUAGUC